UUACCAACAACACUCCUACGUAACUCUUCCAACUGCUUAAGUAAUCGAAAACACAUAUACUUUGAAGGUUGGAUUUUCCUUUUGUAUGUUUUACUUGUGACAUUCAAGCUAAAACGCAUACCACUACAUGCAACUUAUCCAUGACAUUUGGAUUAAAUAUAAACAUGAGUGAUUCAUUAAUCUUGGUGAAAAUCCUUUUGUCAAACCAUGUAAUCCCUAAGAGCAUGAUAUUUACCUUAGGAGAGUACAAUCCUCCAUCACAAGAAGCCCAACCAAUUUUAACGUGACAUUCGUUCAAAAUUGCAUCCGAUAACUUUUCUAAGCAUCCUAAUGGUACAUAGAUAGUUUAAUUCAGUAAUUGAAAAUAUCAAAGCAAGCAUAUAACAACACUUAAGCAAUUGAAAGAUAAAUCUACGUAUUUAUGUUGCGGCUCAUGGCCUCACUCUAGCAAAAGGAAAUUAGUUACACAUAAUUAUUUGAAUACAUAAGAAAUUAUCCAUGAAUAAUCAAAGAAAGAGACAACCCUUUUUUUACAAAGAAGCUAUCUGCCCUUCUCCUCCUUCCAUGUGGAGCUGCGACAUCCCUUCUGCUUUCUGCUAUGUUGCUCGCUGCCACCUCUCCAACGCUGCAACCUUCUCCUCUAUUUUUCUGCCGUGCUCCUCUCUAUUUCUUUUCUUUCUCCGUGUCUUUCUCACUCUGCCUUUGUUUCUGGCCUGUUUUUUUCCCUUUUCUUUUCUGCCGUGCUCCCCCCUGUCUU
rnacentral:lncRNA from 1 species